AGAGUUUGAUCCUGGCUCAGAUUGAACGCUGGCGGCAUGCCUUACACAUGCAAGUCGAACGGUAACGCGGGGGCAACCCUGGCGACGAGUGGCGAACGGGUGAGUAAUACAUCGGAACAUAUCCAGUAGCGGGGGAUAACCUAUCGAAAGAUGGACUAAUACCGCAUACGAUCUACGGAUGAAAGCAGGGGACCGCAAGGCCUUGCACUAUUGGAGUGGCCGAUGUCGGAUUAGCUAGUUGGUGAGGUAAAGGCUUACCAAGGCGACGAUCCGUAGCUGGUCUGAGAGGACGAUCAGCCACACUGGAACUGAGACACGGUCCAGACUCCUACGGGAGGCAGCAGUGGGGAAUUUUGGACAAUGGGCGCAAGCCUGAUCCAGCCAUGCCGCGUGAGUGAAGAAGGCCUUCGGGUUGUAAAGCUCUUUCGGUGAAGACGAAACGGUUAGCGCUAAUAACGCUGACUAAUGACGGUACUCACAGAAGAAGCACCGGCUAACUACGUGCCAGCAGCCGCGGUAAUACGUAGGGUGCAGGCGUUAAUCGGAAUUACUGGGCGUAAAGCGUGCGCAGGCGGUUUGCUAAGACAGGUGUGAAAUCCCCGAGCUUAACUUGGGAAUUGCGCUUGUAACUGGCAAGCUAGAGUGUGGCAGAGGGGGGUGGAAUUCCACGUGUAGCAGUGAAAUGCGUAGAUAUGUGGAGGAACACCGAUGGCGAAGGCAGCCCCCUGGGUUAACACUGACGCUCAUGCACGAAAGCGUGGGGAGCAAACAGGAUUAGAUACCCUGGUAGUCCACGCCCUAAACUAUGUCAACUAGUUGUCGGGGAAGAAAUUCCUUGGUAACGAAGCUAACGCGUGAAGUUGACCGCCUGGGGAGUACGGCCGCAAGGUUAAAACUCAAAGGAAUUGACGGGGACCCGCACAAGCGGUGGAUUAUGUGGAUUAAUUCGAUGCAACGCGAAAAACCUUACCUACCCUUGACAUGCUAGGAAGCCCGCAGAGAUGUGGGUGUGCCCGAAAGGGAACCUAGACACAGGUGCUGCAUGGCUGUCGUCAGCUCGUGUCGUGAGAUGUUGGGUUAAGUCCCGCAACGAGCGCAACCCUUGCCAUUAGUUGCUACAUUCAGUUGGGCACUCUAAUGGGACCGCCGGUGACAAACCGGAGGAAGGUGGGGAUGACGUCAAGUCCUCAUGGCCCUUAUGGGUGGGCUUCACACGUAAUACAAUGGUCGGUACAGAGGGCUGCCAACCCGCAAGGGGGAGCUAAUCCCAGAAAGCCGAUCGUAGUCCGGAUUGUAGUCUGCAACUCGACUGCAUGAAGCCGGAAUCGCUAGUAAUCGCGGAUCAGCAUGUCGCGGUGAAUACGUUCCCGGGUCUUGUACACACCGCCCGUCACACCAUGGGAGUGGGUUCCACCAGAAGUAGUUAGCCUAACCGCAAGGAGGGCGAUUACCACGGUGAGAUUCAUGACUGGGGUGAAGUCGUAACAAGGUA
rnacentral:rRNA from 1 species